rnacentral:rRNA from 1 species
UACGUAGGGGGCGAGCGUUGUCCGGAGUUACUGGGCGUAAAGGGCGUGUAGGCGGUUGGAUAAGUCUGGUGUGAAAUUCCUCAGCUUAACUGAGGAGCUGCGCUGGAAACUGUCUGACUGGAGUUCGGCAGGGGUGACUGGAAUUCCUGGUGUAACGGUGAAAUGUGUAGAUAUCAGGAGGAACACCUGUGGCGAAGGCGGGUCACUGGGCCGCAACUGACGCUGAGACGCGAAAGCGUGGGUAGCAAACAGG